CAUGCAGUCGAACGGUGAACACGGAGCUUGCUCUGUGGGAUCAGUGGCGAACGGGUGAGUAACACGUGAGCAACCUGCCCCUGACUCUGGGAUAAGCGCUGGAAACGGCGUCUAAUACUGGAUACGAACCACGAAGGCAUCUUCAGUGGUUGGAAAGAAUUUCGGUUGGGGAUGGGCUCGCGGCCUAUCAGCUUGUUGGUGAGGUAAUGGCUCACCAAGGCGUCGACGGGUAGCCGGCCUGAGAGGGUGACCGGCCACACUGGGACUGAGACACGGCCCAGACUCCUACGGGAGGCAGCAGUGGGGAAUAUUGCACAAUGGGCGAAAGCCUGAUGCAGCAACGCCGCGUGAGGGAUGACGGCCUUCGGGUUGUAAACCUCUUUUAGCAGGGAAGAAGCGAAAGUGACGGUACCUGCAGAAAAAGCGCCGGCUAACUACGUGCCAGCAGCCGCGGUAAUACGUAGGGCGCAAGCGUUAUCCGGAAUUAUUGGGCGUAAAGAGCUCGUAGGCGGUUUGUCGCGUCUGCUGUGAAAUCCGGAGGCUCAACCUCCGGCCUGCAGUGGGUACGGGCAGACUAGAGUGCGGUAGGGGAGAUUGGAAUUCCUGGUGUAGCGGUGGAAUGCGCAGAUAUCAGGAGGAACACCGAUGGCGAAGGCAGAUCUCUGGGCCGUAACUGACGCUGAGGAGCGAAAGGGUGGGGAGCAAACAGGCUUAGAUACCCUGGUAGUCCACCCCGUAAACGUUGGGAACUAGUUGUGGGGUCCAUUCCACGGAUUCCGUGACGCAGCUAACGCAUUAAGUUCCCCGCC
rnacentral:rRNA from 1 species